rnacentral:rRNA from 1 species
CAGAGGGUGCAAGCGUUAAUCGGAUUUACUGGGCGUAAAGGGUGCGUAGGUGGCUAUUUAAGUCGGAUGUGAAAGCCCGGGGCUCAACCUCGGAAUUGCAUUCGAUACUGAGUGGCUAGAGUUCGGUAGAGGGCGGCGGAAUUUCCGGUGUAGCGGUGAAAUGCGUAGAUAUCGGAAGGAACAUCAAUGGCGAAGGCAGCCGCCUGGGCCUGAACUGACACUGAGGCACGAAAGCGUGGGUAGCAAACAGGAUU